AGAAAUUGGUUAUGUGGGAGAAAUUAUAUACAUGAUUUUGGUAACACAAGAGAAAGAUACACUUAUGGGUUCAUUUCUUGUUCUGGUAAAAUGCAUUGUCUAUUGUAUAGGGCAGGAAGUAGAUAAAGGCCAUGGGAGUAUGGGACAGCUGAAAAACACUUAAAAUGCAGACACAUAUAUGCCUAGGGCAACUGGACAUACAAAGAUCAGAGAGAUAGACAAAGGAGGGGGUCAGCCAAAGGACCAACUGAUGGAUUACAGGCAUCAAUCACAUCACAGGGGAGACACACAAGUCUGUUUGAUCUUAGACAACAAUAUGAAGAGAAGGUGACCAGGGCAGCUGAACACACUAAAAACUAGAGAUAAAGGACACAUACAAAAGGGACACAUGGGGUUAAUUACAGGGUCUAAACACAGGCCACAGGAAAGGGGGAGGUAUAUUAUCUUUAGAUCAAAGCAAGGGUCUUGUCAUCAUGAUAAUCUGACGGAAAGCAGAUGUGGGCGUUACUGGGCUGAACAAGCAGGAUGCACGGAUUGGAAUGUAACUGUAGUUGCAUUGGGGGAUGAACUGAUGAUGUAUGUGUGGGUAUAAAAUGAAGAGUGAGAGCUCUGGAAAGGGUGUGUGUUCCGCGGACCGCUCCGGCUUAUGAUACUGUUGUAUUAAAAGUCUAUAUUGAUUUUCACAAAGUUCUUGGUUGUGUCAUAUUUGAACCGAUUUGCCACUACAUAAUUGGCGAGCAUGCCAGGAGAAUUAGGGACUGAAUAACGUUCUUGGCUGGCAGCGGGAUCUUUGGACGAUCUGGGCAAACAAGGGUGGCCACCCAGCUAAGGUAAGACAACAGUGAAAUGUUUGCGUAGAUCGCUUCAGAGAUCCUGCCUCAGCAAGAGGAGCGUCAAGUAGGUCUCUCUCUCUCAAAUUUCCUAAAAACUAUAGAAACGAAAGAACUUUUUGAAAUUCAAUGAAUUUGCAUGCAUGUGUGUAAGCUUGGAAAUUGUAUAAUGAAUGUGCAUGCAUGUCUAGUGAGUAAGUAGGUGGGGGCUGUGAACUUCGCUGGUGUAGGGUGUGUUAUUCUGGCAUGUUGGGGCUGGGAUUGGGCACAGGGUUACAGCUAUCUGCUUAUAAGGUUUGAAUAAAAUAAGUAGUUAUAGAAGUCCUGCGAUACCGCUUCAAAAUAUUUACCAGAAGGUCUGAAUGGGUAGGUUACUUUAUUGAUAAGUAAUCCUGCGAUACCGCUUCAAAAUAUUUAGCUGAAGGACUGAAUGGGUAGGCUACUUUAUUGAUAAGUAGAUAGAUAAACAUUCAUGGCUACCGCUUCAAGGAAAAGGUCUGUACGGAUGAGUAUUUAGAAAAUAAAUACACAUGGCUACCGCUUUGAAAUGAAGGUCUGUACGGGUGAAUAUUUAAAACACAGAAAGAACGCUGGCCUGAUUGUGCGACGUUCAACUGAAAAAGGAAAUCCUGCGAAUAUAAAACGCUCCGUCUAGCUAAACGGGGGUUUAUAAAUCAGUAGGUCGCGCCACGAUAUUGCUCUAACGUAGAAUAAAGAUCAAUACGGGGUGGAUGAAUAGGAUAUGAAGACAAGCUGAUCCGAUUAGACAGUAGUCUCGUCAUGUCGUAAAAAUCCUAUAGGAUAAUACCAGUUUAUGUAGAGGAAGUGUAUUAAACUAGGGGAUAAACUAUAGGUCGUUUUUAGGUAAAAACGAAGAGUGUGCGUGAAAAAUCCUAUAGGAUAAUACCAGCUUAUGUAGAGGAAGUGAAUUAAGUUAGGUAAUAAACUGUUUUGUUUUUAGGUAAAGACAAAAGGAUUGAAUGAAUGCUGUAAUAUAAUUAUUUGUGAUGAAUGAGCAGAUUAGAAAGAAGAGGAAGAACAGGCUGUGUGUCUGUGACCAACUGGGAAUGCGCAGGCCUCUCUGACAGUUAACUAAGUGUAAUUUGAGAAAGAGAGCGCAUUUAACUCUCACUGGGAAGAGGAACGAAAUCGAUAAAUAUUGGGCAAGAUAAGUUAUACAUAAGCAUAAAACAUUGACUGGAUAAUGAGUUAAAAUAUCAUUGUAAAAAUUACAAUAGGUGUUAAAAAGAGUUAUUAAACAAGGCAUGGAUAGUAUAAAACGGAUGCGAAGUAGGAAGAAAUAACUUAAAAAUAUACAGAAACUAAAAUAUACUGGUUAAAAUAAAUCUAGGCAAAAGUGAGAAUUGCAUGAAAAUAGAAGUCUAGAACACAUUAAAAAUAUCACGAGCCCUGUAAACGAAAUAGGAGGCUGCAAUUUAAAAAUAGCCUCAGGAAUUAAACAGUAAAAUAGGCUAAGAGAGAAUAUAGCAAGCGGAUAAAUAAAGAGAUAAGAAAGUGCAGACAUUAUAAAUAAGCUGAAUUAGAAGGAAAAUUAUAUGAAAUAGGAUUUAAUACAUUGAAUAAAGUUAAAGUAAUAGUAUAAGCAAAGAUAAAAACACAGUGAUAUUUGUGGUGCUGUACUAGAAUAAGACAUUAAGGCUUCUGUAGUAUUCAGUAAUACAGUUGUAGACAUUAUAGAGUAGGUUUUAAUAGGAGGUAUUAAGUGAUGUGACUAAUAAAUUAUUAUUUGAGAAAGUAGGGUAGAUCUACCUUGGAAAAUAGUAAAUAAAGUAUAUAAUGCGAUGGGAGAGUUUAGGAAAAAUAAAUAGUGGCAUGGAAACAAAUGGACUGUUUCUCCCUGGAAUAUAGAGAUAGCGAAAUUUAAUAAAGCCAUAGAGUCGCUGAAAGAAGCGCACGUUAAUUCUACCAAUUCGAUUUGAAUAUGAAGGAGCGGUUUGCUACAAUGUAGGGCAACAUUACCCGGUAAACAGGAUAAAUAAAAUAAUGAAUUGGAACGAUCACAUAAAACCAUAACAAGAAGCUUAACUUACCAGCGUUUUAAUGUUAAUUAACAUAUCAUCAGAAAUACAUUACGAUGGGGGAAGUGUAAGAAGUUGUAGAGCAGGGCUAACUAGUGUGGGGGAAAAUUAGUGUAAGAUGACACUGGAAUGCGAUAGCAGAGAAUGCAGAAAUACAGGAAUUUACACCCGUUUUAAAAGAACAACAACUGAUCGUUCUAAGGUUAGUACGAAUUAAGUUUUCACCAAGCGGUGUAUAGUCUCUGAUUGAUCAAAAAGUGGUUCAUAGAGAGUACAGUUUAUGUGAUGAAAUACGUACUAGAUCACGUUUUACCUAACUUAUAGUAAGGUACCGAUGUAAUUUACAAAUAGCCUCACUCGGAGUCGUUUUGCAUUACAAUGGUGGUUUCAGUGGUGAUAAAAUGCGUGGAGAAGUUGUUAUUAGCGUCAAAAUACGGAAAAUAAACGUAUAUGAAAAAUCACAAGCGUGGUAAAAAUAGAAGAAAAGCAAAUUGUAGAGUAUGGGUGUAUUCAAUUUCUAAGGGUAGGAUACAGAUGGCCGAGCAUGGGGGAAUUGUGCGUUCUGUGCAUGGCUGGAGCUUUUAUCGCAUGCUCGGGAUAAGUGAGGGGAUUUUAGUAUGUGUGUUACUGUUGGCUUGCUGAUUUAGAGGGUGGCAUGGUGAAUGUUAACGAAAUGUACAUUUAUUUUCCAGAAAAAAGGGGUUACAUUUUCAAUGGGUUUUUCAGUUCGGUUUCAAAUUGGGUAUGCAGAAGGAUGGAAGUGCUUUUGAAAGUGUGGUUAAGAUGUUUCUAAAGAAAAAAGAGUGAAAACAUUAUAAUGGUGUCGAAUGCCCUGAACUCUAAGAAUUUCCCGUGAAGACUGAUCAACUUCACUAGAAAUUUUUGGAAUAGGUGGGAUUUAAUUAUAAAAUGAUUGAGAAACACCAGUUUCUGUUCAAAGUGUAGAAUCACUGAAAUUCCAUUAUUUCCUUGGGAAAAAGAUGAAGAGUUGUAAUCUUGAAUUGACUAGUUAUUCAAAUAGGUUUAUUUUUAUUUAACAUGGGGUUAUAGGAGAACAUAUCAAUUCCCUGGGGUUAUGGUCUUUGGGUAAAUACAAAAUGUGCUUUGUUCAUGCUACAUAUAAAAUGGAAAUAUAUGUAAACAAGGGAUAACAGUUACUCCAAAUAGGUUAUUGGAGGGGGGGUUUCUGCAAGGGUUAUGAUGAUAACUACAUAAUCUGUAACUCAUCUGAGAGAUCGCUAGUAGAAUAAGGGAGUUAUCAUGGAAAUGUAAUGUCAGACUGCAUUAAUGCUUGGGAGAGACUAUCAUAACACCAAGUGGGUGUGAAACUCAAACCCACCCUACUGGCUGAAUAGUGUGGGACAACUGUGUCUGAUGACCUGUGAACUGUAUCUGGAAUGAUAUGUACUGGGAGAAGAAUGACUAAAGGGGAUUGGGAUAAUGACCUUUUAUUACUAGGCCACUCAUGACAGAAAAACAGAGGUAAAAGGGCGCAUGGUACAAUAGAUAUUACUGGUACUAAAAGUUUUUAGUAUGAUAAUUAUUAAAGGGAGAUGUAUUGAAUUGAGUAGGUCAAAUUUGAGUUAAAGUAAGCACUAAGGACUGUUAUUUUGAAUAUUGGAUUGGACAAUAUAUAAACAACAUUUAGUUUUAAAUAUAGGACUGUUUAAAUUUACUAAGCCUAGGGAAGCUCUGGAAACUAAUCCUGAGACAGGUUGAUUGACAGAACUUGCAGAAUAUUAGAUUAAAGGUUUUUGUUUCUUUUAUUUUACAAUAUCAUAGUAAUUGGAGUGAUACAUUGGAAUGACAUAAGUAAUUGAAUAAAAAGUAUAGUCUGUUGUGUGAUACCACCCAAGGAUGAAGAAGACAUUACAAGAAGACAUUACAAAUAGUGGUAAUUUAUUGCAAAUAUGCAGUUAUUAUAAUUUACUUUACCAUUUUUCUUGUUUGGUCAAUUUAUUUUUGUUUUGAGGAAAAUAAGAGUGUAUAUUUUUCCUGAGGAGGGACUGAUAUAUAUUGACUAAAAAUGAUUUGAGAAUGUUUAAGUAUGUAUCAAACUAUGGAAGGAAAUUAGGAGUAGUGACUUAUGUGUUAUGGGUUAGAAAAACUGUAACUACAUUGGGGGCUCAUAUAUGAAGGUUAUGGUAACAAGAGGGGGGUGUUAUUUCUAGAAACAGUGUAUAUUGAUAGACAAGAUAAUUCACAGAAAAGGAAGGACAGUUGGUUUUGUAAAAAUAUAGGGACAAUUCUAAAAGUAAAUAGAACAUUACACAUACCUAGAUUAUGGUAAAAGUGAUAGGUAGUGGCAUUUUGAACACUAGAGCAAAAGUUUAAGAAGCUUAGGAUUUAGUUUUGUUAGGAUUGGAUAUUCUUUCAACUGGAAGACACUUGACUGAUUACAUGUUAUUCUUGCAGCAGUUACGGUAGGGACCAUAAUUUGGCUAUCAUUAUGAAUAUUUUUGUGGCAAGAGGCCAGGUAUUUAAGACAGAAUGUUUACAUAGGGCUGUUAUUUAAAAAUUAAGAUUUAGUGAUCUUGCUCUAAGAAGAAAGUCUUUUGUCAGGAAAUAACCCAUGAGUUAGUAUGUAUGUUCCCAGGAAAAGACGCCAGAUGGAAGGGCAUGGGCUGAAUUCUGGAAACUGAGUGUACAUCAAGAUACACCGGGCUGGGGAUAUACUUCUUACAGCACCUGCAGUGGUAAAGAUUGUCAUGUCUCUCUAUGAUGGGUGCAUAAGUUUCACAAGAAGUAAGGUCCAGCUGAAUAAUGGGUGAGCUUGAAAACACCAUGACAGAGGACGUGAAACAAAACAAAAGAGAGAGAGAGAGACUAGAUUCUACUGUAGACAUACUGGGUUGAGUUUGGGGGUUAUUUGUUUUAUUUGAUAAUGUAUCAUGUGAAUAAGGAUAUAUGUUAGGGUAGUUGUACUCUAAACCACAUGUUGAAGGCUCAAUGUGGAAGCUCAUUCCGUGUUGAAUUACUUUAAGAAGGAAUAAUGUUGAUUAAGGUUAUGCACAUGUUUAUCAGUUGAAACAGAGCAGAUGGGGAACUAAGUAAAAAAUGACAUGGUUUGGGAACACCUCUCAGAACCUGCGGCCGAAAGGGGAAGACUGGAUGAAAGCAUGAGGAAGCCAAUUAGGGCCUCCAUUUUUGUGGAGUCCAGCAGAAAAGUAUCCUGGAGGCAUAGAGUCAGUCUUAUGUUUAGGAAACCAGAUGGAGAAGGGUUCUCCAGCUUCAGCUGGAAUGUCAGUUUGUGUGAUGAGUGAUGGAAGUAAGAGAAUGUAUGGUGUAAUCAUAGAACAGAGGCCAUAAGUCUCUAAGUAUGAAUGCCCCAUAGAAAGAAGGCAGAAAUCUGAACCAGGAUGAGAGGUUCCACAUCUGAUGAUCCAAGGGGACCAGAAGGAUCUCUCCCAGUGAUACCAGGAGAUCGAGUCUACGUUUGAGUGUUCCGAAGGAAGUGGGAUCAGCCGAGGAGGGAAGGACCCUACGAGGUGGCAACAGCCACAAACACGGCCGUCCAAGUGAAAGGAAGCAAGACGUGGUAUCAUCUAAACCACUGCACCCGAGUCCCGACGGAGAGAAGGACACAACCAUACAGAGAUGAGGACACAGAGGAUGCUGAUUCACCAGAAGGGACCCCGGAGGGAGCAGGAGCAGCGGAAUCGAUCAAAGCGCCGGGGAGGAAUCAAGAAAAUGGCAGACCAGAUACAACGAGUGCAUCGGCUAACAUACUCAGAAGAACGAACCAGGGAAAAAGAGCCUGAAAAGAAAAGAGACAAACAACCAAAGUUUCCUCCAGUAUGGCCAGAAAGCCCAGAAGUGGGAGGGGGUAACAUGUCUGCCACUCCUGAUGAUAUACUUGUUGGGGCAGACUCUGUUGACGGAAGCCUUCUACAGUGGGACCCCGAGGUAUCGCCUAAAGAAUGUGAACAUCUCUUCCCUGAAAUGGUCACCUUCCAGAUGGAAGCACAGUCCGGCCUGAGGAGGGAGCCUCAGGGGAAGACAGAGGAGGAGAGGCCUCACAGGAACAGAAGGAGAGACCCCGCAAAGAGGAGGAAAAGUCCAGCAAGCUGAAGAAAAUGGGGAUUUCCCCAAAAUUGACUUUUCAGCUCUUGAAUUGUCUCCUUAACAGACACUUGAAGUUAGAGCCACAGAAGAACAAUGAUAUUGACAUAACAGAAGUAACAGUGAACGCUAGUAUAGCAACAACAGACUCACGUACAAUCAAGAUGUAGGGUGGAAACAGGAAGAGAAGAGAGGAACCAGUCAAACAAUCUAAAAAGACUGACAAGGUUAGAAUCUCUGUUCCACCUCAACAUAUAACUGAAACAGAAGAAGAGAAGACAAAAGGAUCAAACCCUUACCGGAGAUUGCAUUUGGUGGAUGGACAUAUCAUCGAACGAAGAGAGAAGUCAUUUGGGACUCAAAAGGAUGUGACCUGACGUUAACCAAAGAAGUAGACGAGUGGGUGCUCACCAUGAAUCAGAUUGAACCAGUUGAAGGUGAAGAAUUAAUAGGUGAAAUAAUGAGAACAAGAUUGGCUGAAGGGAGUAGUUCCUCAGUCAUUCAGAAUUGGUCUUACGCCAAUACCUAAACAGGAAGAGCCUGUGGUAGCUAGAAAGCAUCAGAACCAGGAGGGUUCUUUAUUGACAUUUUGAACUUUUUGACUAACUCUAAUGACCUACCUCAAGAUAAGAACAUUGCAAAGAUGACAGACAGACAUACCAGACUCUGAACCACUCAAGGACACCACAUGAAAAGAAUAGUGAAGAAUGAGUGGUACGAAUGGGCUAAGUAUACAGCAGAAAUAAACAUAGAAUGGACAAUUGUAUUUUGUGUAGAAAAUCACCUUCCCAUCUUUUGAUAGUACCUGAACCUGCAUCAUUUGAAGAAUGUGUUAAAUGUAAAAUGUUCAAUAUUCAGAGAAAAUACUACAUUCCCUUGUGUAACAUAGAAUGUAGGAUUGCUCGAGGGAGCACACUAGAGGCAGAACCAUGUUAAACGAGACUGGAUUAGGAGACAAGGAUUGUGCUGCCUAUGACAUUAAAACUGAAUUAAAUGGACCUCAAUUAGACAGAAGUACUGUGGUUAAGGGAAAAUAUGAAUGUUUUUACAGCCAUAACACCGAAGGAAUUGGUGUAGGAAACACCACUGUAGAAUGUGAUACUAUUUGGGUACUAGAGACUGCAGGGGUUCGUAGGAAUAAAGAUAAAGGGUUGGUGACGAAUAGAAAAGGGUUGUGUGGUAAAAUAACUCAGGUUGCGCCAUCUCUUAUUAUGCUAAAAAAUCAGGACAGAAGUAUUGCGGAUAGUUUCUGGAUGUGUGGGAAUGACAAACUGUUGAAUGUACUGCCAGAUGGAUGGACGGGUCUUUGUACCUUAGUUAGAGCAAUUCAACAGGUAGUCAUCAUGGGGUGAUUUAAUAAUGGUUAUGUUAACUCUAGAGUUAAGAGGGUGUAUGAGAAAGACACUGAGGUAUACUUUGAUGCAAUUGGACAGCCUAGAGGGGUACCUCGGGAGUUCAAGGCAAGAGAUGAAGUUAAAUCUGGAUUUGAAUCUAUAUUUUUGUGGAUAACACCAAAUAAGAACUUAGAGUGGAUUAAUUACAUAUACUAUAACCAACAGAGAUUCAUUAACUAUACUGACUCGGCUUUAACGGCGUUGGGGAAACAGGUACAGGCUCCCAGUAAAAUGUCUUGGCAAAAUAGACAGGCUCUCAAUUGGCUUUUGGCAGAGAAGGGUGGAGUUUGUGUUAUGUUCGGGGAUGAUUGUUGCACCUUUAUUCCCAAUAACACUGCGCCUAAUGGAUUCUUUGCUGUCGCUAUGGCUAAACUUAAAGGGUUAAGAGAAGAGGUUAAGAAAAAUGCUGGGGUGGACUCUCAUGGUUGGGAUUGGUUGGACUUAGCAUUGGGGAAAUAGGGAGCCAUGUUUGCUAGGACGGCCUUUAUGCUGGAAGGGGGGUUAUUGGCUCUGGGUAUUGUAUUUUGUUGUGUUUUACCCUGGGUGAAAUCACUUGUGAUCCAGACAACGGUUAAACAGAUGUUUGUAAGUAGAGCUGACACUCCGGUGAUAGUUGAUCCUGUGCCGGGUAGGCCAGGCCACUAUACUGAUGAAAAUGGACAGUUAUGCUGUCAUUCCAAAUUCAUAAGAAAGUCAACUGAUGCAUAUCCACAAAAAGGGUCAUUUCCGUAGUAAAUACUAGAGAUGUUUGGUCUAAGUUAGGUGUUCUUUUAUUGUUUCUAACUAGAUCUUUUACUCUUAUGAAAUACUAGAGAUGUUUGGUCUAGUUAAUUAGGGAGCUUUAUUUUUGUUAAUCAAUUGUUGAUAUUCUGAUCCGUAUAUGUCCUUUUAAGUUUUUUGGUGCUUAUUAAAGCACCAGAGGGGGGUUAUGUGGGAGAAAUUGGUUAUGUGGGAGAAAUUAUAUACAUGAUUUUGGUAACACAAGAGAAAGAUACACUUAUGGGUUCAUUUCUUGUUCUGGUAAAAUGCAUUGUCUAUUGUAUAGGGCAGGAAGUAGAUAAAGGCCAUGGGAGUAUGGGACAGCUGAAAAACACUUAAAAUGCAGACACAUAUAUGCCUAGGGCAACUGGACAUACAAAGAUCAGAGAGAUAGACAAAGGAGGGGGUCAGCCAAAGGACCAACUGAUGGAUUACAGGCAUCAAUCACAUCACAGGGGAGACACACAAGUCUGUUUGAUCUUAGACAACAAUAUGAAGAGAAGGUGACCAGGGCAGCUGAACACACUAAAAACUAGAGAUAAAGGACACAUACAAAAGGGACACAUGGGGUUAAUUACAGGGUCUAAACACAGGCCACAGGAAAGGGGGAGGUAUAUUAUCUUUAGAUCAAAGCAAGGGUCUUGUCAUCAUGAUAAUCUGACGGAAAGCAGAUGUGGGCGUUACUGGGCUGAACAAGCAGGAUGCACGGAUUGGAAUGUAACUGUAGUUGCAUUGGGGGAUGAACUGAUGAUGUAUGUGUGGGUAUAAAAUGAAGAGUGAGAGCUCUGGAAAGGGUGUGUGUUCCGCGGACCGCUCCGGCUUAUGAUACUGUUGUAUUAAAAGUCUAUAUUGAUUUUCACAAA